AGCCGGCCACCUUCCUCUUCUCCCGCGUAUGUGCCGCCGGUCGGCCGGGGUUUACCUGGCGUUACCUGCCAGCCUGUGGCCUCAGUUCACUCACGUCACUUCGAGCAACCGGUUCGGAGUUCUCUUCGGCGUCCGUCCGUACGUACGUCCGUCCAUCCAUCCGUGCGCCUGCACUCGACUUUAAAAGUCUCUUCUCUCGCGUACCUGCCUCUCCCUUGCCUGGCGUACGAGCGCGUAAUCACGUAACUCUUCUUCUUCUUCCCUUCUUCUUCGUCAUCUUCAUCGUCAUCGUCAUCUUUGGCUUGUUCUCUUCUUCGUUCGUCAUUUCCAUUUUCUUUCUUCUUCUUCCGCGGUGUUGUCUGUGCCGAUGGCCGAUACCGAGGCUGAUAAUUGUCUAAUAUUGGUGCGCGAAUCGUGUCCUCGUUGAGAAAACGAUCGAUUGCCUCAGAAAUUGACGUUCAUCGGACGGAAAUCGGGCUUUAUUUCGCGCCAGCCACGAGGAACUCAAUGUGAACGACCGGUCCUGCGGGCGGCAGUGAAAUUUUGACGAACCCCUCGCAGCGGUACGUACCUGCGGAAAGGAAAGGGAGACGAACACCGAGCCUGGAGAGGAUUGUAAGGAAAAGGCCGUUACUGAUGGCGAUCGGUAUCAGAUCCAUCAUCGUUCGCCGAUCGAAACACGGAAGAGCGAUUGGGAUCGCGCGGCAAAUCGUAGCACGGAUCACGGAGAGGAAAGACGGGGAGGAGCGGACAUUCCAACGAGAAGAGAAGUCGAGGUCACACAAAACCUGUUCGAAGAGUUACGAGAUCGCGAAACGGGGGCUCGAACACGCCCGAGACACGCGUUCAUGUUUUCGCAAUCAUUGUGUAUCUUGAUUUAUACAAAUCAACAGACCCUACCGGCCUGACAGUGCAGCAUCGCUGCGUCUCAAUUUGCAAAGAAGCCCAAAUUUUUUCGUUUGGCACGUUCCUGUUGUAAACAAGUGUUGUAAAACAAGAAUCUGCCAUUUUUUAUUGUUAUAGAUUCAUGUUAUUAAAUUAUUCGAGUCAUGGUAAAAAAUCAUUGCAAGUUUUAUGAUGUUGCAUCACACAUUGAUAAAAAAAACUUUGAACUUUUAAAGUGAAAUAUUUUUAAACAAUUCUAUUCGAAAAUUGUAUCAUAGUACUAAUCAUUAUAUAAUUAUUACUCGACUUAAAUACACAGUUAUAAAAA